rnacentral:rRNA from 1 species
AUUGAACGCUGGCGGCAGGCCUAACACAUGCAAGUCGAACGAGUGGCGGACGGGUGAGUAAUGUCUGGGAAACUGCCUGAUGGAGGGGGAUAACUACUGGACACGGUAGCUAAUACCGCAUACCAUCAGAUGUGCCCAGAUGGGAUUAGCUAGUUGGGGGGGUAACGGCUCACCAGGGCGACGAUCCCUAGCUGGUCUGAGAGGAUGACCAGCCACACUGGAACUGAGACACGGUCCAGACUCCUACGAGAGGCAGCAGUGGGUAAUAUUGCACAAUUGGCGCAAGCCUGAUGCAGCCAUGCCGCGUAGAUGAAGAGUGCCUUCGGGUUGUAAAGUACUUUCAGCGGGGCGGCGUUACCCGCGGAAGAAGCACCGGCUAACUCCGUGCCAGCCGCCGCGGUAAUAC